rnacentral:rRNA from 1 species
GUGGGGAAUAUUGCACAAUGGGCGCAAGCCUGAUGCAGCAACGCCGCGUGAGCGAUGAAGGCCUUCGGGUCGUAAAGCUCUGUCCUCAAGGAAGAUAAUGACGGUACUUGAGGAGGAAGCCCCGGCUAACUACGUGCCAGCAGCCGCGGUAAUACGUAGGGGGCUAGCGUUAUCCGGAUUUACUGGGCGUAAAGGGUGCGUAGGCGGUCUUUCAAGUCAGGAGUUAAAGGCUACGGCUCAACCGUAGUAAGCUCCUGAUACUGUCUGACUUGAGUGCAGGAGAGGAAAGCGGAAUUCCCAGUGUAGCGGUGAAAUGCGUAGAUAUUGGGAGGAACACCAGUAGCGAAGGCGGCUUUCUGGACUGUAACUGACGCUGAGGCACGAAAGCGUGGGGAGCAA